CAACACAGACAAUCUGCAGGCCGUAUGACAAAUGUGUCAGGGAAUAGAUAAAAGAUAGCAGUUAAACGUCUCGGAUUAAAAGGCAGUGGACAACAUAGCAGCGAGCAGAAGAGCGACAGUCAUGACGUACCAAUGCAAUGUCUGCACUGUUACUUUCUCCAAACUGAGUCAGCUAUUACAGCAUAGAAAAACCGAGAAUCAUUGGCCAAAAUACACAUGCCCGACCUGCAAGAAAGACUUCACUAGGAAGAAUAAUUUAAAGCAACAUAUGAAAAAACAUGAGGA